rnacentral:lncRNA from 1 species
UCAUGGCGCCGCAAUGCCUGACGUCACUUCCGCUUUCCCACCGCGUGACGUCAUCCGGUGUGCGCCCAGUGCAGAGCUGGCUGAGUGUGAGUGAGCGGAGGGUGAGUCCGGGGUUCAUUGUGUUUAUUGGGAUAUUCCUGGAUCCAGAGCGAAAAUAAUAAUAAUAAUAAUAAUCAGCCAAUUACAUUAUAAUAAUAAUAAUAUCAAUAAUCAGCCAAUUACAUUAUAAUAAUAAUAAUAAUAAUAUCACUAAUCAGCCAAUUACAUUAUAAUAAUAAUAAUAUCAAUAAUCAGCCAAUUACAUUAUAAUAAUAAUAAUAAUAAUAAUAAUCAGCCAAUUACAUUAUAAUAAUAAUAAUAAUAAUAUCACUAAUCAGCCAAUUACAUUAUAAUAAUAAUAAUAUCACUAAUCAGCCAAUUAAAUUAUAAUAAUAAUAAUAAUAAUAAUAAUAAUAAUAAUAAUAAUCAGCCAAUUACAUUAUAAUAAUAAUAAUAAUAAUAAUCAGCCAAUUACAUUAUAAUAAUAAUAAUAUCGCUAAUCAGCCAAUUACAUUAUAAUAUUAAUAAUAUCACUAAUCAGCCAAUUAAAUUAUAAUAAUAAUAAUAAUAAUAAUCAGCCAAUUACAUUAUAAUAAUAAUAAUAAUAAUCAGCCAAUUACAUUAUAAUAAUAAUAAUAUCGCUAAUCAGCCAAUUACAUUAUAAUAAUAAUAAUAUCAAUAAUCAGCCAAUUACAUUAUAAUAAUAAUAAUAAUAAUAAUAAUAAUCAGCCAAUUACAUUAUAAUAAUAAUAAUAAUAAUAUCACUAAUCAGCCAAUUACAUUAUAAUAAUAAUAAUAUCACUAAUUAAAUUAUAAUAAUAAUAAUAAUAAUAAUAAUAAUAAUAAUCAGCCAAUUACAUUAUAAUAAUAAUAAUAAUAAUCAGCCAAUUACAUUAUAAUAAUAAUAAUAUCGCUAAUCAGCCAAUUACAUUAUAAUAUUAAUAAUAUCACUAAUCAGCCAAUUAAAUUAUAAUAAUAAUAAUAAUAAUCAGCCAAUUACAUUAUAAUAAUAAUAAUAAUAAUCAGCCAAUUACAUUAUAAUAAUAAUAAUAUCGCUAAUCAGCCAAUUACAUUAUAAUAAUAAUAAUAUCACUAAUCAGCCAAUUAAAUAAUAAUAAUAAUAAUAAUAAUAAUCAGCCAAUUACAUUAUAAUAAUAAUAAUAAUAAUCAGCCAAUUACAUUAUAAUAAUAAUAAUAUCGCUAAUCAGCCAAUUACAUUAUAAUAAUAAUAAUAAUAAUCAGCCAAUUACAUUAUAAUAAUAAUAAUAAUAAUAUCACUAAUCAGCCAAUUACAUUAUAAUAAUAAUAAUAUCACUAAUCAGCCAAUUAAAUUAUAAUAAUAAUAAUAAUAAUAAUAAUAAUAAUAAUAAUAAUCAGCCAAUUACAUUAUAAUAAUAAUAAUAAUAAUAAUCAGCCAAUUACAUUAUAAUAAUAAUAAUAUCGCUAAUCAGCCAAUUACAUUAUAAUAUUAAUAAUAUCACUAAUCAGCCAAUUACAUUAUAAUAAUAAUAAUAUCACUAAUCAGCCAAUUACAUUAUAAUAAUAACAAUAAUAUCACUAAUCAGCCAAUUACAUUAUAAUAAUAAUAAUAAUAAUAUCACUAAUCAGCCAAUUACAUUAUAAUAUUAAUAAUAAUAUCACUAAUCAGCCAAUUACAUUAUAAUAUUAAUAAUAUCACUAAUCAGCCAAUUACAUUAUAAUAUUAAUAAUAUCACUAAUUAGCCAAUUACAUUAUAAUAACAAUAAUAAUAAUAUCACUAAUCAGCCAAUUACAUUAUAAUAAUAAUAAUAAUAAUAUCACUAACCAGCCAAUUACAUUAUAAUAAUAAUAAUAAUAUCACUAAUCAGCCAAUUACAUUAUACUAUUAAUAAUAUCACUAAUCAGCCAAUUAAAUUAUAAUAACAAUAAUAAUAAUAUCACUAACCAGCUAAUUACAUUAUAAUAAUAAUAUUAUCACUAAGCAGUCAAUUACAUUAUAAUAUUAAUAAUAUCACUAAUCAGCCAAUUACAUUAUAAUAAUAUUAAUAAUAUCACUAAUCAGCCAAUUACAUUAUAAUAAUAAUAAUAAUAUCACUAAUCAGCCAAUUACAUAAUAAUAAUAUCACUAAUCAGCCAAUUACAUUAUAAUAUUAAUAAUAUCACUAAUCAGCCAAUUACAUUAUAAUAAUAAUAAUAUCACUAAUCAGCCAAUUACAUUAUAAUAUUAAUGAUUUCACUAAUUAGCCAAUUACAUUAUAAUAUUAAUAAUAUCACUAAUCAGCCAAUUACAUUAUAAUAAUAUUAAGAUCACUAACCAGCCAAUUACAUUAUAAUAAUAAUAAUAUUAUCACUAAUCAGUGAAUUACAUUAUAAUAUUAAUAAUAUCACUAAUCAGCCAAUUACAUUAUAAUAUUAAUAAUAUCACUAACCAGCCAAUUACAUUAUAAUAAUAUUAAUAUCACUAACCAGCCAAUUACAUUAUAAUAAUAAUAAUAAUAAUAUCACUAAUCAGUCAAUUACAUUAUAAUAUUAAUAAUAUCACUAAUACGCCAAUUACAUUAUAAUAAUAAUAAUAAUAUCACUAAUUAGCCAAUUACAUUAUAAUAUUAAUAAUAUCACUAAUCAGCCAAUUACAUUAUAAUAAUAUUAAUAUCACUAACCAGCCAAUUACAUUAUAAUAAUAAUAAUAUUAUCACUAAGCAGUCAAUUACAUUAUAAUAUUAAUAAUAUCACUAAUCAGCCAAUUACAUUAUAAUAAUAAUAAUAUUAUCACUAAUCAGUCAAUUACAUUAUAAUAUUAAUAAUAUCACUAACCAGCCAAUUACAUUAUAAUAAUAAUAAUAAUAUCACUAAUCAGUCAAUUACAUUAUAAUAUUAAUAAUAUCACUUAACAGCCAAUUACAUUAUAAUAAUAAUAAUAUCACUAAUCAGCCAAUUACAUUAUAAUAUUAAUAAUAUCACUAAUCAGCCAAUUACAUUAUAAUAAUAAUAAUAAUAAUAAUAAUAAUACUAAUCAGCCAAUUACAUUAUAAUAUUAAUAAUAUCACUAAUCAGCCAAUAACAUUAUAAUAUUAAUAAUAUCACUAAUCAGCCAAUUACAUUAUAAUAAUAAUAUCACUAAUAAUAAUAAUAAUCGGGGGGGACAUGGAGAGAGAGAGAGAGAGAGAGGGGAACAUGGAGAAAGAGAGAAGAUGAUGGGGGAACAUGAGCAGAGAGGGAACUUGAUUAUGUGGCAGACUGUUGUGAUUGAUCUUGUGAUGUAUGCAUGUUAAUGUGAGUGCAGCCAUCUUGGUUUCAUAUAUAUAUAUAUAUAUAUAUAUAUAUAUACACACACAUAUACAUAUCUUAUUUACAUAUAAUCUAGUCACACAAAUCACUUGCACAGUCCUGUAUACCACUCCUAUGUCCAGUCUUUUAUAUUUGAUCCUCAAUAUACUUCUCUAUUUUAGGUUAUCUCUAUUCUCCAAGCUUUGGUAAGCACUAUCAGUGCAUUUGUCUCACGGCCCUCACCACUGUACACUUGUUACCUAGCAACCAUUCCCUCGACACACCACGUCGUCACGUGACCUUCUGUGAUCACUUCUGGGUCAGCACUGUACGGGAGAGGUUCGCUUACUAUUUGUAAGUACACCUUACACUUUUUCUAUACAGUUGCAAGAAAAAGUAUGUGAACACUUUGGAAUGAUAUGGAUUUCUGCACAAAUUGGUCAUAAAAUGUGAUCUCAUCAUCAUCUAAGUCACAACAAUAGACAAUCACAGUCUGCUUAAACUAAUAACACACAAAGAAUGAAAUGUUGCCAUGUUUUUAUUGAACACACUAUGUAAACAUUCACAGUGUAGGUGGAAAAAGUAUGUGAACCCCUAGACUAAUGACAUAUCCAAGAGCUAAUUGGAGUUAGAUGUCAGCCAACUGGAGUCCAAUCAAUGAGAUGAGAUUGGAGGUGUUGGUUACAGCUGGCCUGCCCUAUAAAAACACACACCAUUUCUGGGUUUGCUUUCCACAAGAAGCAUUGCCUGAUGUGAAUGAUGCCUCACACAAAAGAGCUCUCAGAAGACCUACGAUUAAGAAUUGUUGACUUGCAUGAAGCUGGAAAGGGUUAUAAAAGUAUCUCCAAAAGACUUGCUGUUCAUCAGUCCACGGUAAGACAAAUUGUCAAUAAAUGGAGAAAGUUCAGCACUGCUGCUACUCUCCCUAGGAGUGGCCGUACUGUAAAGAUGACUGCAAGAGCACAGCGCAGACUGCUCAGUGAGGUGAAGAAGAAUCCUAGAGUGUCAGCUAAAGACUUACAAAAGUCACUGGCAACUUGCCUGUUAGCGAAUCUACAAUAUGUAAAACACUAAAUGGCUUUCAUGGGAAGAUACCACAGAGGAAGCCACUGCUGUCCAGACAAAACAUUGCUGCACGUUUACAGUUUGCACAAGAGCACCUGGAUGUUCCACAGCAGUACUGGCAAAAUAUUCUGUGGACAGAUGAAACCAAAGUUGAGUUGUUUGAAAGAAACACACAACACU